ACAAACCGGAGGAAGGUGGGGAUGACGUCAAAUCAUCAUGCCCCUUAUGACCUGGGCUACACACGUGCUACAAUGGACGGUACAACGAGUCGCUAACUCGCGAGGGCAAGCUAAUCUCUUAAAGCCGUUCUCAGUUCGGAUUGCAGGCUGCAACUCGCCUGCAUGAAGUCGGAAUCGCUAGUAAUCGCGAAUCAGCAUGUCGCGGUGAAUACGUUCCCGGGCCUUGUACACACCGCCCGUCACACCAUGAGAGUUUGUAACACCCAAAGUCGGUGGGGUAACCUUUUGGAGCCAGCCGCCUAAGGUGGGACAGAUGAUUGGGGUGAAGUCGUAACAAGGUAGCCGUAGGAGAACCUGCGGCUGGAUCACCUCCUUUCUAAGGAA
rnacentral:rRNA from 1 species